rnacentral:rRNA from 1 species
GAGUUUGUACGUCUCGGCUCAGGACGAACGCUGGCGGCGUGCUUAACACAUGCAAGUCGAACGGAAGGACCCUUCGGGGUACGUCGAGUGGCGAACGGUGAGUACACUGGGUGAUCUGCCCUGCACUUUGGGAUAAGACCUGGGAAACUGGGUCUAAUACCGGAUAGGACCACGGCAUUCAUGUGCUGUGGUGGAAAGCUUUUGCGGUGUGGGAUGGGCCCGCGGCCUAUCAGCUUGUUGGUGGGGGUAAUGGCCUACCAAGGCGACGACGGGUAGCCUGCCUGAGAGGGUGACCGGCCACACUGGGACUGAGAUACGGCCCAGACUCCUACGGGAGGCAGCAGUGGGGAAUAUUGCACAAUGGGCGCAAGCCUGAUGCAGCGACGCCGCGUGAGGGAUGACGGCCUUCGGGUUGUAAACCUCUUUCGCCAGGGACGAAGCGCAAGUGACGGUACCUGGAGAAGAAGGACCGGCCAACUACGUG